rnacentral:rRNA from 1 species
AGGGAAUUUUCCACAAUGGACGAAAGUCUGAUGGAGCAACGCCGCGUGAACGAUGAAGGUCUUCGGAUUGUAAAGUUCUGUUGUCAGGGACGAACAAGUACCGUUCGAACAGGGCGGUACCUUGACGGUACCUGACGAGAAAGCCACGGCUAACUACGUGCCAGCAGCCGCGGUAAUACGUAGGUGGCAAGCGUUGUCCGGAUUUAUUGGGCGUAAAGCGCGCGCAGGCGGCUAUGUAAGUCUGGUGUUAAAGCCCGGGGCUCAACCCCGGUUCGCAUCGGAAACUGCAGAGCUUGAGUGCAGAAGAGGAAAGCGGUAUUCCACGUGUAGCGGUGAAAUGCGUAGAGAUGUGGAGGAACACCAGUGGCGAAGGCGGCUUUCUGGUCUGUAACUGACGCUGAGGCGCGAAAGCGUGGGGAGCAAAC